rnacentral:rRNA from 1 species
UACGUAGGUGGCAAGCGUUGUCCGGAUUUAUUGGGUUUAAAGGGUGCGUAGGCGGCUUUGUAAGUCAGUGGUGAAAUAUGGCAGCUCAACUGUCAGGGUGCCAUUGAUACUGCAGAGCUUGAGUACAGAUGAGGUAGGCGGAAUUGACGGUGUAGCGGUGAAAUGCGUAGAUAUCGGAAGGAACACCAGUGGCGAAGGCGGCAUCCUGGACCGGUAUUGACGCUGAGGCGCGAAAGCCAGGGGAGCAAACGGG